rnacentral:rRNA from 1 species
AGGUAAGCUACUAAGAGCGAAUGGUGGAUGCCUUGACUGGUAAAGGCGAUGAAGGACGUACUAGACUGCGAUAAGCUACGGGGAGCUGUCAAGAAGCUUUGAUCCGUAGAUUUCCGAAUGGGGCAACCCAAUGUAUAGAGAUAUACAUUACCUAUAUAGGAGCGAACGAGGGGAAUUGAAACAUCUUAGUACCCUCAGGAAAAGAAAUCAAUAGAGAUUGCGUCAGUAGCGGCGAGCGAAAGCGCAAGAGGGCAAACCCAGUGCUUGCACUGGGGGUUGUAGGACUGCAAUGUGCAAGAGGUGAGUUUAGCAGAACAUUCUGGAAAGUAUAGCCAUAGAGGGUGAUAGUCCCGUAUGCGAAAAACAAACCUUAGCUAGCAGUAUCCUGAGUAGGGCGGGACACGAGAAAUCCUGUCUGAAGCUGGGUCGACCACGAUCCAACCCUAAAUACUAAUACCAGAUCGAUAGUGCACAAGUACCGUGAGGGAAAGGUGAAAAGAACUGAGGUGAUCAGAGUGAAAUAGAACCUGAAACCAUUUGCUUACAAUCAUUCAGAGCCCUAUGUAGCAAUACAGGGUGAUGGACUGCCUUUUGCAUAAUGAGCCUGCGAGUUGUGGUGUCUGGCAAGGUUAAGCAAACGCGAAGCCGUAGCGAAAGCGAGUCUGAAUAGGGCGCUUAGUCAGAUGCUGCAGACCCGAAACGAAGUGAUCUAUCCAUGAGCAAGUUGAAGCUAGUGUAAGAACUAGUGGAGGACUGAACCCAUAGGCGUUGAAAAGCCCCGGGAUGACUUGUGGAUAGGGGUGAAAGGCCAAUCAAACUUCGUGAUAGCUGGUUCUCUCCGAAAUAUAUUUAGGUAUAGCGUUGUGUCGUAAUAUAAGGGGGUAGAGCACUGAAUGGGCUAGGGCAUACACCAAUGUACCAAACCCUAUCAAACUCCGAAUACCUUAUAUGUAAUCACAGCAGUCAGGCGGCGAGUGAUAAAAUCCGUCGUCAAGAGGGAAACAACCCAGACUACCAGCUAAGGUCCCUAAAUCUUACUUAAGUGGAAAACGAUGUGAAGUUACUUAAACAACCAGGAGGUUGGCUUAGAAGCAGCCAUCCUUUAAAGAAAGCGUAAUAGCUCACUGGUCUAGUGAUUUUGCGCGGAAAAUAUAACGGGGCUAAAGUAAGUACCGAAGCUGUAGACUUAGUUUACUAAGUGGUAGGAGAGCGUUCUAUUUGCGUCGAAGGUAUACCGGUAAGGAGUGCUGGAGCGAAUAGAAGUGAGCAUGCAGGCAUGAGUAGCGAUAAUUAAUGUGAGAAUCAUUAACGCCGUAAACCCAAGGUUUCCUACGCGAUGCUCGUCAUCGUAGGGUUAGUCGGGUCCUAAGUCGAGUCCGAAAGGGGUAGACGAUGGCAAAUUGGUUAAUAUUCCAAUACCAACAUUAGUGUGCGAUGGAAGGACGCUUAGGGCUAAGGGGGCUAGCGGAUGGAAGUGCUAGUCUAAGGUCGUAGGAGGUUAUACAGGCAAAUCCGUAUAACAAUACUCCGAGAACUGAAAGGCUUUUUGAAGUCUUCGGAUGGAUAGAAGAACCCCUGAUGCCGUCGAGCC